ACACGGCCCAGAUUCUACGGGAAGCAGGCAGUGGGGAUUAUUGCACAAUGGGGCGGAAGCCUGAAUGCAGCGACCGCCGCGUGAAGGGAUGACGCCCUUCGGGGUGGUUAACCUCUUUCAAGCAGGGACGAAGCGUAAGUGACGGUACCUGCAGAAGAAGCGCCGGCCAAACUACGUGCCAGCAGCCGCGGUAAGACGUAGGGCGCGAGCGUUGUCCGGAUUUAUUGGGCGUAAAGAGCUCGUAGGCGGCUUGUCGCGUCGACCGUGAAAACUUGGGGCUCAACCCCAAGCCUGCGGUCGAUACGGGCAGGCUAGAGUUCGGUAGGGGAGACUGGAAUUCCUGGUGUAGCGGUGAAAUGCGCAGAUAUCAGGAGGAACACCGGUGGCGAAGGCGGGUCUCUGGGCCGAUACUGACGCUGAGGAGCGAAAGCGUGGGGAGCGAACAGGAUUAGAUACCCUGGUAGUCCACGCUGUAAACGUUGGGCGCUAGGUGUGGGGGGCCUUCCGGUAC
rnacentral:rRNA from 1 species